rnacentral:rRNA from 1 species
AAUACAUGCAAGUCGAACGAGAAAGUAUUCUUCGGAAUAUUAGUAGAGUGGCGAACGGGUGAGUAACACGUAGGAAAUCUGCCUUUAAGUCUGGGAUAACGUUGGGAAACUGACGCUAAUACCGGAUAAUUCUUUUAGCCGCAUGGCUAGGAGAUAAAAGAAAGCCUCUGCUUGCAAGCUUUGCUUAGAGAUGAUCCUGCGGACCAUUAGUUAGUUGGUAAGGUAACGGCUUACCAAGACCGUGAUGGAUAGCCAGCCUGAGAGGACGAUC